AACUUCUCAGGGUCGCACCUGGAGAGUUUCAGUACUUUAUUAGUCUUGACUACAGGAGGAAGAGUCAAGCAGAGGUAUACCCAUUCCAUUCCUGGCUUGACCAGUGGCUAGUGAGUGGAAGACCAUCUGCUACAAGU
rnacentral:snoRNA from 1 species